GACGAACGCUGGCGGCGUGCCUAAUACAUGCAAGUAGAACGCACAGUUUAUACCGUAGCUUGCUACACCAUAGACUGUGAGUUGCGAACGGGUGAGUAACGCGUAGGUAACCUGCCUGGUAGCGGGGGAUAACUAUUGGAAACGAUAGCUAAUACCGCAUAAUAUUAAUUAUUGCAUGAGAAUUAAUUGAAAGGUGCAAUUGCACCACUACCAGAUGGACCUGCGUUGUAUUAGCUAGUAGGUGAGGUAACGGCUCACCUAGGCGACGAUACAUAGCCGACCUGAGAGGGUGAUCGGCCACACUGGGACUGAGACACGGCCCAGACUCCUACGGGAGGCAGCAGUAGGGAAUCUUCGGCAAUGGACGAAAGUCUGACCGAGCAACGCCGCGUGAGUGAAGAAGGUUUUCGGAUCGUAAAGCUCUGUUGUAAGAGAAGAACGGGUGUGAGAGUGGAAAGUUCACACUGUGACGGUAGCUUACCAGAAAGGGACGGCUAACUACGUG
rnacentral:rRNA from 1 species